GGUAAAUUAGCAACACAGCUUAGCAAGCAUAUACAGUUGUACGCAAUAGUGUGGUAUUUAUAAAGUGCCCUAAAGCUGCCCUGCACAUCGUAUAUGUGUGUGAUCUGAGGGCCUACUGCUUCAUUAUCAUCAUCAAGUUUAAGACCGAUGCUUACAUCUUAAAGUACCUACAUAUAUUAGUAUGCACGUAAUCUUGGAAUAUCUAAUCGACGACAAUAUAGUUAUUAGGCCUGACUGCUCUAGGUAAGGUACAGCGGGCUGCACUGAAUUCUGACCAUUAAUGGACCGGUUUAACUUGUUAAACCGGUUUUCACAAACCUAAUACCAAAACAAGUUUUUUAUAAAAAUGACAUUUUUGCUACAAGUUUUUAUUGUCGUCAGAGAGAGAGAGAUCUUAUGGCAAUUAACGCCUGACAAAUGACCCAUGUCCGUGCUGUAAACGAUUGAGGAGUUCCCUCGUUUGGUGCCGACACGGGCUGCACAUAAUAAUGCAUUGUCAUGGAAACUGAAGCGACCUGGGAAAUUUCAACUCUGUAGGUCAACUGGAAGUAGGAAAAAUGUAACUUGCAAGAUUUGAUUACAGACAGACAACGGGACAGGUUAAACUAAAUAAAAGCUUGUAAUAAUUAUAAUUUUGUCAUAUAUCCUAUUAUUUAAAUACAAAAAGACAAUAUCAACAUAGGUUUCUAUAUAAACAUAUUAUCUUAAAUAUUCGGCCGCUUACAAACUGCGCGCCGCGCCGCUGACGUUUAAGACAAAAUGGCGUACUUCACGUUUUACUAUGGCAGAGUUGUCACUGACGGGAAGCCUACUGUACAUAAUUAUAAGAUCAGUGUUUUGAUAUGAAACAUAUCAUUAUUUUUGUUCAAUUACUCCGAUCGAAAAAUAGCGGUUCUAUCGUUUUAUAAUGUUCAACGAGAUAGCGUAAAAUAUUGCCCUUAAUGUCAUGCUUUGUAAUGAUUAAGUAAAUCAGUGUGCUGAUACAAAGUAACGUGUUUCUUUUAGCAUUCAUGUAUCAUUAUUACCACUAGUUUUUUUCGUCGUCAGAGUUAGUAAAUCAUGUCCGUGAAGUAAACAAUGAACAACACACUCCACUAUAGCAUUUUCUUUCAGCAACAUGUGAAGCUAAACAAGUGAUCUUUGAGUUUGGUUCUGUCUACCCGUAACGGAUAUAGACGUUAUACUGUAUCUGUAUUAUAGUUAUAAAUACAUUUUUAAUUAAAUACGUAUAUGAAUGGUGACUAUUCGUGCAACUGUGCGAGGCCUGUGGCACUAGAUUAGGACCACUCCAUAUCCUCCCGUGGAUGUCGUAUAAGGCGGCUAAGGGACAUAUAGCUUAGGCAGCUGAUAGACAACAAUAACAUUCCCUAGGAGGGUUGACGUCAGGUAGGCAGCCGAUUAUAAAAUCACAGCCGAAUGUUAAAAAUAUUUAGGUUAUUUUUACGCUGACCCCGGGCGUCACAACGUCACAGUCCCGAAUGCAACUGUGAACUUACGAAGAUGAGAGAAUUUUUCAUACAAUCCUCGCUGAAGUCGAAAUUUAGUUACAGAUGAAAGCCAGUCCAGUGAACAAAUGUGUUGGACCCAAACCACUGACCAACGCGAUAAGGGCUAUAAAGCCAAUUGCACGCAUUUGUCACGAGACACAGUUAAUAAAGCCUUAUGCACAUGGGUGAAGGAUUUUUACAGAGCGAUUUUUGUGCAAUACAUUUUUAUGUUCACAAAAUUGACGAUUUUAAAUAUUGCCGCAUUUAUGCUUUUAUAUGAUCGA